rnacentral:lncRNA from 1 species
CGCAAUUUGUUCGUCCAAAAUUUGAAGUUUCUUUUCAAAUUUGAAAUAUUUAGUGUUUACUAAAUAUGGAAUAAUCUAAAGAUGGAAAAUGCAAAGAAUAAUGCAAAGGAAUGUUUACUCUAGGAUAAGAGUAAUAAUAGGAUGGAGAGUACAUGAGAGGUUUAUAAUUGUUUGAAGUAUUGUUCACUCAAUUUUUAGCAUAUACAUUACUAUAAAAUGUUUAGGAGUUUUGUAAUUUAGAUAUCACAACAAAACAAAUAGAGUGUAACAAAGUGAAUUUAUUAAUUAGAAGUUCAUCUUUCUUCUUAGACAUUUUUCAUACAAAUUUAUUGUUCUAGCUACAUUCGUGUUCAACUUUAGUGAGUGCAUAGUUCAUAUUAUUAUUAGAAGUCUGUAUUUUCCGCUGCUACUCAACAGACUUAAAGCUUGAGAGAAACAUGGUAAGAAAGGAAAUAUCAUCUUAGUUUUGUUAAGUCAUACUUAUGCUUGCUAAUAUUCUUUACCAAACUUGAGCUUAAAAUAUAAAUCAAAUUUGAGCCUAUAUGUCUCUAAAUUGAUACACAUGAAGUUCAACUAUGUUUUUUAUGCAGCAACCUAUUAAGUAGUAGUAACCAACUGAUAUUACCUAAAAGACCCUUGUCUCAUGCAAAAAAAAAAAAAAAAAACUUUUGUCACCACUCUCACACAAAGAGUCAAGAGCCUCACUAAUCUAAAACAAUUGGAAACAAAGAUUCUGAAAUCAAAUUACAAUUAG